rnacentral:rRNA from 1 species
UCGGGGUACUCGAGCGGCGAACGGGUGAGUAACACGUGAGCAACCUGCCCUAGGCUUUGGGAUAACCCCGGGAAACCGGGGCUAAUACCGAAUAGGACCUUCGGUCGCAUGACUGUUGGUGGAAAGUUUUUCGGCCUGGGAUGGGCUCGCGGCCUAUCAGCUUGUUGGUGGGGUGAUGGCCUACCAAGGCGACGACGGGUAGCCGGCCUGAGAGGGCGACCGGCCACACUGGGACUGAGACACGGCCCAGACUCCUACGGGAGGCAGCAGUGGGGAAUAUUGCACAAUGGGCGGAAGCCUGAUGCAGCGACGCCGCGUGAGGGAUGACGGCCUUCGGGUUGUAAACCUCUUUCAGCAGGGACGAAGCGUAAGUGACGGUACCUGCAGAAGAAGCGCCGGCCAACUACGUGCCAGCAGCCGCGGUAAGACGUAGGGCGCGAGCGUUGUCCGGAUUUAUUGGGCGUAAAGAGCUCGUAGGCGGCUUGUCGCGUCGACUGUGAAAACCCGCAGCUCAACUGCGGGCCUGCAGUCGAUACGGGCAGGCUAGAGUUCGGUAGGGGAGACUGGAAUUCCUGGUGUAGCGGUGAAAUGCGCAGAUAUC